rnacentral:rRNA from 1 species
UACGGGGGGAGCAAGCGUUGUUCGGAUUUACUGGGCGUAAAGGGCGCGUAGGCGGUCAGCACAAGUCAGUUGUGAAAUCUCCGGGCUUAACUCGGAAAGGUCAACUGAUACUGUGCGACUAGAGUGCGGAAGGGGCAACUGGAAUUCUCGGUGUAGCGGUGAAAUGCGUAGAUAUCAUCAGGAAUACCGGAGGCGAAGGCGGCUCACUGGGACCUAACUGACGCUGAGGAACGAAAGCUAGGGGAGCAAACGGG